UACGGAGGGGGUUAGCGUUGUUCGGAAUUACUGGGCGUAAAGCGCACGUAGGCGGAUCAGAAAGUUGGGGGUGAAAUCCCGGGGCUCAACCCCGGAACUGCCUCCAAAACUCCUGGUCUUGAGUUCGAGAGAGGUGAGUGGAAUUCCGAGUGUAGAGGGUGAAAUUCGUAGAUAGUUCGGAAGGAACACCAGUGGCGAAGGCGGCUCACUGCUCGAUCACUGACGCUGAGGUGCGAAG
rnacentral:rRNA from 1 species